AUGCUUGUUGCAACAAAGAAGCAUGUUCUUUAUGAUUUGGUCUACUUACUCAUCAAAUUGAUAUUGAUUUUACCGGUGUCAACGACGAGUGUUGAAAGGGUAUUUUCGGCAAUGAACCUAGUGAAAAGUAAAUUGAGGACUAGUGUGAGUGAUGAUCGCUUGAAUGAUUGCUUGGUGACAUUUAUUGAGCAAGAUGUGUUCAUGAAAGUAAGUGAAUAG
rnacentral:rRNA from 1 species